rnacentral:rRNA from 1 species
UACGUAGGGUGCAAGCGUUAAUCGGAAUUACUGGGCGUAAAGCGUGCGCAGGCGGUGAUGUAAGACAGAUGUGAAAUCCCCGGGCUCAACCUGGGAACUGCAUUUGUGACUGCGUCGCUGGAGUGCGGCAGAGGGGGAUGGAAUUCCGCGUGUAGCAGUGAAAUGCGUAGAGAUGUGGAGGAAUACCGAUGGCGAAGGCAGCCCCCUGGGAUAACACUGAUGCUCAUGCACGAAAGCGUGGGGAGCAAACAGG